rnacentral:rRNA from 1 species
AGCGGCAGACGGGUGCGUAACACGUGAGAAUUUACCCUUUAGUGAAGAAUACCCCCGAGAAAUCGGGGCUAAUACUGCAUACGUCCCUUCGGGGAGAAAGGUGGCCUCUUUGCUACCGCUAAAGGAUAAGCUUGCGGCCUAUCAGCUAGUUGGUAAGGUAAUGGCUUACCAAGGCUAUGACGGGUAGCCGACCUGAGAGGGUGAUCGGCCACACUGGAACUUAGACACGGUCCAGACUCCUACGGGAGGCAGCAGUGGGGAAUAUUGCGCAAUGGGCGAAAGCCUGACGCAGCGACGCCGCGUGGAGGAUGAAGGUCUUCGGAUUGUAAACUUCUGUUAAGUGGGAAGAAAAGCUUAUCCCUAAUAAGGAUAGGUUCUGACUGUACCAUUAGAGAAAGCACUGGCUAAUCUCGUGCCAGCAGCCGCGGUAAUACGAGAGGUGCAAGCGUUAUUCGGAAUUACUGGGCGUACAGGGUGCGUAGACGGCAUGUUAAGUCAACUGUUUAAUUCUUCGGCCUAACCGGAAGUCAGCAGUAGAAACUGAUGUGCUUGAGGGUGAGAGAGAGAAGUGGAAUUCUCGGAGUAGCGGUAAAAUGCGUAGAUCUCGAGAGGAACACCAAUGGCGAAGGCAGCUUCUUGGCUCACUUCUGACGUUGAGGCACGAAAGCGUGGGGAGCAAACAGGAUUAGAUACCCUGGUA